rnacentral:rRNA from 1 species
GGAGCGUUCUGUAAGCCUGCGAAGGUGUGCUGUGAGGCAUGCUGGAGGUAUCAGAAGUGCGAAUGCUGACAUAAGUAACGAUAAAGCGGGUGAAAAGCCCGCUCGCCGGAAGACCAAGGGUUCCUGUCCAACGUUAAUCGGGGCAGGGUGAGUCGACCCCUAAGGCGAGGCCGAAAGGCGUAGUCGAUGGGAAACAGGUUAAUAUUCCUGUACUUGGUAUUACUGCGAAGGGGGGACGGAGAAGGCUAUGUUGGCCGGGCGACGGUUGUCCCGGUUUAAGCGUGUAGGCUGGUUUUCCAGGCAAAUCCGGAAAAUCAAGGCUGAGGCGUGAUGACGAGGCACUACGGUGCUGAAGCAACAAAUGCCCUGCUUCCAGGAAAAGCCUCUAAGCAUCAGGUAACAUCAAAUCGUACCCCAAACCGACACAGGUGGUCAGGUAGAGAAUACCAAGGCGCUUGAGAGAACUCGGGUGAAGGAACUAGGCAAAAUGGUGCCGUAACUUCGGGAGAAGGCACGCUGAUAUGUAGGUGAAGUCCCUUGCGGAUGGAGCUGAAAUCAGUCGAAGAUACCAGCUGGCUGCAACUGUUUAUUAAAAACACAGCACUGUGCAAACACGAAAGUGGACGUAUACGGUGUGACGCCUGCCCGGUGCCGGAAGGUUAAUUGAUGGGGUCAGCGCAAGCGAAGCUCUUGAUCGAAGCCCCGGUAAACGGCGGCCGUAACUAUAACGGUCCUAAGGUAGCGAAAUUCCUUGUCGGGUAAGUUCCGACCUGCACGAAUGGCGUAAUGAUGGCCAGGCUGUCUCCACCCGAGACUCAGUGAAAUUGAACUCGCUGUGAAGAUGCAGUGUACCCGCGGCAAGACGGAAAGACCCCGUGAACCUUUACUAUAGCUUGACACUGAACAUUGAGCCUUGAUGUGUAGGAUAGGUGGGAGGCUUUGAAGUGUGGACGCCAGUCUGCAUGGAGCCGGCCUUGAAAUACCACCCUUUAAUGUUUGAUGUUCUAACGUGGACCCGUGAUCCGGGUUGCGGACAGUGUCUGGUGGGUAGUUUGACUGGGGCGGUCUCCUCCUAAAGAGUAACGGAGGAGCACGAAGGUUGGCUAAUCCUGGUCGGACAUCAGGAGGUUAGUGCAAUGGCAUAAGCCAGCUUGACUGCGAGCGUGACGGCGCGAGCAGGUGCGAAAGCAGGUCAUAGUGAUCCGGUGGUUCUGAAUGGAAGGGCCAUCGCUCAACGGAUAAAAGGUACUCCGGGGAUAACAGGCUGAUACCGCCCAAGAGUUCAUAUCGACGGCGGUGUUUGGCACCUCGAUGUCGGCUCAUCACAUCCUGGGGCUGAAGUAGGUCCCAAGGGUAUGGCUGUUCGCCAUUUAAAGUGGUACGCGAGCUGGGUUUAGAACGUCGUGAGACAGUUCGGUCCCUAUCUGCCGUGGGCGCUGGAGAACUGAGGGGGGCUGCUCCUAGUACGAGAGGACCGGAGUGGACGCAUCACUGGUGUUCGGGUUGUCAUGCCAAUGGCACUGCCCGGUAGCUAAAUGCGGAAGAGAUAAGUGCUGAAAGCAUCUAAGCACGAAACUUGCCCCGAGAUGAGUUCUCCCUGACCCUUUAAGGGUCCUGAAGGAACGUUGAAGACGACGACGUUGAUAGGCCGGGUGUGUAAGCGCAGCGAUGCGUUGAGCUAACCGGUACUAAUGAACCGUGAGG